rnacentral:lncRNA from 1 species
CAUGACAGUCCUCCUCACAAUUAUCAAAAGGGUCAAAAGAGAAUGUAGAAUGACGGCCUGGGACUCCUCCUGGAAAGUCCAAAAAAAGCUAGGCACACACACACACACGCACCUGUGGUGGGGCAUGACGUGACGUGGAUUAGGCACUCACUGCACCCAGCAGAGGUCCAGAUGUGCAUGUGUAGGAUCAAGUGCGGUAAG